UACGGAGGGUGCAAGCGUUAAUCGGAAUUACUGGGCGUAAAGCGCGCGUAGGUGGUUUGGCAAGUCGGGUGUGAAAGCCCUGAGCUUAACUUAGGAAUUGCAUUCGAUACUGCCUGGCUAGAGUAUGGUAGAGGGAAGCGGAAUUCCGCAUGUAGCGGUGAAAUGCGUAGAUAUGCGGAGGAACACCGGUGGCGAAGGCGGCUUCCUGGACUAAUACUGACACUGAGGUGCGAAAGCGUGGGGAGCAAACAGG
rnacentral:rRNA from 1 species